AACGUAGGAGACAAACGUUAUCCGGAGUUACUGGGCGUAAAGGGCGUGUAGGUGGUAUCGUAAGUCUGGCGUGAAAUUUCUCGGCUUAACCGAGGCAGGUCGUCGGAUACUGCGAGGCUAGAGGACGGUAGAGGCGUGUGGAAUUCCGGGUGUAGUGGUGAAAUGCGUAGAGAUCCGGAGGAACACCAGUAGCGAAGGCGACACGCUGGGCCGUACCUGACACUGAUGCGCGACAGCAUGGGGAGCAAACAGG
rnacentral:rRNA from 1 species